rnacentral:rRNA from 1 species
AGAGUUUGAAUUCUGGCUCAGAUUGAACGCUGGCGGCAGGCCUAACACAUGCAAGUCGAGCGGAUGAAGGGAGCUUGCUCCUGGAUUCAGCGGCGGACGGGUGAGUAAUGCCUAGGAAUCUGCCUGGUAGUGGGGGAUAACGUCCGGAAACGGGCGCUAAUACCGCAUACGUCCUGAGGGAGAAAGUGGGGGAUCUUCGGACCUCACGCUAUCAGAUGAGCCUAGGUCGGAUUAGCUAGUUGGUGGGGUAAAGGCCUACCAAGGCGACGAUCCGUAACUGGUCUGAGAGGAUGAUCAGUCACACUGGAACUGAGACACGGUCCAGACUCCUACGGGAGGCAGCAGUGGGGAAUAUUGGACAAUGGGCGAAAGCCUGAUCCAGCCAUGCCGCGUGUGUGAAGAAGGUCUUCGGAUUGUAAAGCACUUUAAGUUGGGAGGAAGGGCAGUAAGUUAAUACCUUGCUGUUUUGACGUUACCAACAGAAUAAGCACCGGCUAACUUCGUGCCAGCAGCCGCGGUAAUACGAAGGGUGCAAGCGUUAAUCGGAAUUACUGGGCGUAAAGCGCGCGUAGGUGGUUCAGCAAGUUGGAUGUGAAAUCCCCGGGCUCAACCUGGGAACUGCAUCCAAAACUACUAAGCUAGAGUACGGUAGAGGGUGGUGGAAUUUCCUGUGUAGCGGUGAAAUGCGUAGAUAUAGGAAGGAACACCAGUGGCGAAGGCGACCACCUGGACUGAUACUGACACUGAGGUGCGAAAGCGUGGGGAGCAAACAGGAUUAGAUACCCUGGUAGUCCACGCCGUAAACGAUGUCGACUAGCCGUUGGGAUCCUUGAGAUCUUAGUGGCGCAGCUAACGCGAUAAGUCGACCGCCU